CCUGAAUAAACUGCUGAAAGAAGAAUCCUGUGUCGUGUUUUCCCUUGCCGGUGAGGGGUCGCGACAAUUGGUGGCCCGGACGGGGAAUUAUAUUCCUCGAACCCAGGAUCCAGAACUUUCAGCAGUCAGGGUGGUGCACCGGUAAGUUCCCAGGUAAAGUGGGAAUCCGCAAGCAAAUAGCGGGGUGCUCUCUCUGUAAAUAGAGAGAGAGCGGGAAAAAGGACGCUCCCCUGUAAAAGGAAGAGAGCGGGGAAUUCAUAGAACGGAAUGCUCCCCUGUAAAAGGAAGAGAGCG
rnacentral:lncRNA from 1 species